rnacentral:lncRNA from 1 species
CAAUAACUGCAAGACGUCACACACAAACACACACACACACACACACACACACACACACACACAUUCACACUCCAUAAUGCUACCCCUGCUGUUUCCAGAAUGUCAGCUCAGCUUGGGCAGUUUUGAUUGUAUUGAUUGUAAUGAAUUUUCUGUACAUACGAUGAUGAAUAUUAUGAUAUUAUUGUUAUUACUAUUAUUAUUGCAGCCACUCUUUUUCUGCAAUCUCUUUUUUUUAAAAUCCAUUUGAGUAAUUUAAGAACUUGUCAAUAUCUGACUCACAGAAAAAGGAGGGCACAUUGUUGUGAUACGUCUCACUCAUUUUAUCUUUCACGCUUCCAGGUAAAUUUUUCACAUUUCAAAACUAAAAUUUUCUUUUUUUCUUCUUUUAUAUUUCACUCCAUCCGAUAUCUUUGGUUCAAUGAAUGUACAACUGUGUGCUUCUCCUCACCUUCCCCCUCCCCCCUGCCUCCCCCGCCUCUUCCCUUCACCUCUCCCUCUGUGUCUCUUGCUGUCUGUCUGUGUAGCCUAUCAAUGUGCAGUGCUAAACCUGUCAGUAAAUAAAAGCCUGUCGUUUUUGAGUGUAAUGUUAAGAAGGAAUAAACAUUGCAUUGAUUAAUAACUUAUAUUAUUACUAUGUUACUAUUGGAACAUUACCUGUAAUUAUUGAUACAAUGAUGACAUGGAUUAUGCUGACUAAUUGUUAUUGAGAACUGUCAGAAAACAUUACAAAAUUCAUAAUAAAAACACUAUAUGACGUCUCCACGAGAGAGCUUUCUUGUUAGCAGUGUUCUCAUUGAAAUAAAGCUGUAAUAUUGUAAAACUAUAUUUUAAAAGGUGAGGUUAUAGAUAAAAUAUAACUUAGAAGAAACGUGUUUUCAUAUAAUUAAGCCUAUAACCAGUUUCAUAGACAAGUUAUACAACAUAACACAUACAGUGUGGUAAUGUAACUGUACACUUACUCACGUUUUUUACUUAAGUAUAAUAUAGGUACUUUACUUAAGUAUUAGUUUAUACAUCUGCUUACAUUUAAGUAGGAAAUAUUGCACUUUUUACUCGACUACAUUUAUAUUUAUAAAGCACUAUUUUAGAUUAAACAGUAGUUAAAACAAACUCCACCUCCACCAGCUUCAACAAUAACAUGCUGCUUACACACAAUGCAACCUUAAUGACAAUAAUCCAAUAUUACAAUAUAUAAUCAGUGAUGGAAGUAGUAUAUAAAGUAUUAUUACAGUAGUUACUAUAAAAAUACUCCUUUACAAGUAAAAGUAAUACAUUCACAAAUGUUAUAGUAUUGGCAACAGUAUAUACUUAAAGUAUCUAAAGUAAAAG